UGAUUUUGAUUCAGGAAGUGUCAUGGUA
rnacentral:piRNA from 1 species